rnacentral:RNase_P_RNA from 1 species
GAAGCAGGCCAGGCCGCCGCUGGUGCAAGCGUGGAAACACCGCACUGGAGGAACGUCCGGACUGCACAGGGCAGCGUAGCAGGUAACACCUGCCCACCGCGAGGUGAGGAUUAGAGCAACAGAGACGAGUCGCAGCGCCUUCGGGCACUGCGGGUGAAACGGGCAAUCUCUACGCGCAGCAAUACCAAAUAGGCAUGCAAUGAACUGGCUCCGGCGAGCAUGCGGGUAGGUAGCACCGAGCCGGUUGGGCGACCACCGGCCCAGAUUGAUGGCGGUCACAUGGCAGUUUUGCCAUGCACAGAAUCCGGCGUAUCGGCCUGCUUCACAC